rnacentral:rRNA from 1 species
AGGCAGCAGUGAGGAAUAUUGGUCAAUGGCCGAAGGGCUGAACCAGCCAAGUCGCGUGAGGGAAGACGGCCCUACGGGUUGUAAACCUCUUUUGCCGGGGAGCAAAGGCGGUCACUGGUGACCGGAUGAGAGUACCCGGAGAAAAAGCAUCGGCUAACUCCGUGCC